rnacentral:rRNA from 1 species
AACGCGAAGAACCUUACCUGGGCUUGAACCGCACAGGACCAGCUUUAGAAAUAGAGCCUUCCCGCAAGAGACUGCUAUAUAGGUGCUGCAUGGCUGUCGUCAGCUCGUGUCGUGAGAUGUUGGGUUAAGUCCCGCAACGAGCGCAACCCUUAUCCCUAGUUGCCAUCGGGUCAAGCCGGGCACUCUAGUGAAACCGCCCAGGAUAACUGGGAGGAAGGUGGGGAUGACGUCAAGUCCUCAUGGCCUUUAUGUCCAGGGCUACACACGUGCUACAAUGGUCGGUACAAACCGUCGCAAACCCGCGAGGGGGAGCUAAUCGGAAAAAGCCGGCCUCAGUUCGGAUUGGAGUCUGCAACCCGACUCCAUGAAGCUGGAAUCGCUAGUAAUCGCGGAUCAGAACGCCGCGGUGAAUACGUUCCCGGGCCUUGUACACACCGAGUAUA